UACGUAGGGUGCGAGCGUUGUCCGGAAUUACUGGGCGUAAAGAGCUCGUAGGUGGUUUGUCGCGUUGUCCGUGAAAACUCACAGCUCAACUGUGGGCGUGCGGGCGAUACGGGCAGACUGGAGUGUUGCAGGGGAGACUGGAAUUCCUGGUGUAGCGGUGAAAUGCGCAGAUAUCAGGAGGAACACCGGUGGCGAAGGCGGGUCUCUGGGCAACAACUGACGCUGAGGAGCGAAAGCGUGGGGAGCGAACAGG
rnacentral:rRNA from 1 species